rnacentral:rRNA from 1 species
UCGAUUGAGUUUGAUCAUGGCUCAGGAUGAACGCUAGCGGCAGGCUUAAUACAUGCAAGUCGAGGGGCAGCACAGGUAGCAAUACUGGGUGGCGACCGGCAAACGGGUGCGGAACACGUACGCAACCUUCCUUUAACUGGAGAAUAGCCCCUCGAAAGAGGGAUUAAUACUCCGUAACAUGUUGAUAAGGCAUCUUAUUAAUAUUAUAGCCUUCGGGCGGUUAAAGAUGGGCGUGCGCCUGAUUAGAUAGUUGGCGGGGUAACGGCCCACCAAGUCUGCGAUCAGUAACUGGUGUGAGAGCACGACCAGUCACGCGGGCACUGAGACACGGGCCCGACUCCUACGGGAGGCAGCAGUAAGGAAUAUUGGUCAAUGGACGCAAGUCUGAACCAGCCAUGCCGCGUGGAGGAUUAAGGCCCUCUGGGUUGUAAACUCCUUUUAUCUGGGAAGAAAUGCAUUUUUUCUAAAGUGCUUGACGGUACCAGAGGAAUAAGCACCGGCUAACUCCGUGCCAGCAGCCGCGGUAAUACGGAGGGUGCAAGCGUUAUCCGGAUUCACUGGGUUUAAAGGGUGCGUAGGCGGGCAGGUAAGUCCGUGGUGAAAUCUCUGAGCUUAACUCAGAAACUGCCAUGGAUACUAUUUGUCUUGAAUACUGUGGAGGUAAGCGGAAUAUG